AACGAACGCUGGCGGCAGGCCUAACACAUGCAAGUCGAGCGAGGACUUCGGUCCUAGCGGCGGACGGGUGAGUAACGCGUGGGAACGUGCCCUUUGCUUCGGAAUAGCCCUGGGAAACUGGGAGUAAUACCGGAUGAGCCCUUUGGAGGAAAGAUUUAUCGGCGAAGGAUCGGCCCGCGUUGGAUUAGGUAGUUGGUGGGGUAAUGGCCUACCAAGCCGACGAUCCAUAGCUGGUUUGAGAGGAUGAUCAGCCACACUGGGACUGAGACACGGCCCAGACUCCUACGGGAGGCAGCAGUGGGGAAUCUUAGACAAUGGGGGAAACCCUGAUCUAGCCAUGCCGCGUGAGCGAUGAAGGCCUUAGGGUUGUAAAGCUCUUUCAGCUGGGAAGAUAAUGACGGUACCAGCAGAAGAAGCCCCGGCUAACUCCGUG
rnacentral:rRNA from 1 species